GAGUGUAUAUGUGGGGAGGGAGAGAAACAGAGACAGUGACAGGGAGAUAGAGAGACAGAGAGACAGGAAAUGAUCUCAUGAACUUCCCUGAACUCCUUUGCGUGAGGUCACAAUGCCUUUCAUAUUCAUGGUAACUGUCUCCUAGGUGAAAGGAGGCCAGGGAAGAUGGUCAGCAAGACCUCCUAAGACCUCCUACUUUUAGUCAAAGACCAAGGAAGCAGAGCAGCUACUACAGGCCACAAUAACUUCACAGGAGCUAAGGGAAUCAGGUAAGAGAAUGCCACAUCUGCUUACAGUAUAACAAAAUCGAAAGAGUGCUGAAGAAAAUGGGAAGAAAAAAAUGU
rnacentral:lncRNA from 1 species